ensembl:lncRNA
UGUUUCAAUCAAAAGUCUUCCAAAAGCUGUACCCUGCCCCUCCCAAACGGGAGAAGGAACUGAGCCCACCAGGCACAGUAGAUGCUCUUUCCAGAAAACCCCACGUGAAAGGAAAAGCCUCUCAACGGGAGACGGCCACUGGUGAGUUCAGUUUAACUUUUGGUAUUGCAAUAUACACAUUAACAAAUCCACAGUCAUACAUGCCGUGCCAGAACAUCCCUCCGCUCCUCUUACAUAUGCAUUGAGGCUUACUUCUUUUGUUUUCUGUCUCAGGAGAUGCAGGAAGGAAGCCGAUCGCUGCCAAUCCAGGCAGGCGGAUGUACACAGUCCUGCCUCCCCCCGCUGACCACAAGACAGAUUCAGAGAAAUCCGUCACACUCCCCCAGUUAGAAAGCGUAAAUAGUGCAGACGACCCAGCUGACAGGAUAACAGACCGUGAUAGCGAUGAGGAACCAGUCCAAGAUAAAGAGGAGGAAGAAGAACCGAAAAGAAGAAGGAAGAGAAGGAAAAGGAAACCGGACCGACACCAGGACUCCGGCAAGGACGGAGCAGCCGGCGUGAGUGAGUCCGGCCCGGGUCGGAGUCGGGCCCCCGAGGACGAGGGCGGGGAGAACAUGAGCAGGAACAAGAAGAGGAAGCUGAAGAAGAAACGGCACAAAGAGAAGCUGCUCGCCAUGGGUCUGAUGCCGCGGGCCGCUGCACUGGAGUUCACCUACCGGAAGGCUGAGGAGGAGGAGGAGGAAGAUAACGAGACGAGAGCCGCUGAGGUGUCAGACUUCCUGAGGACAACAAUGGAAACCUAUAUGUCAGAUCCCUCUUUGCGCUCGGACCAGCGCCCCCUCCUGUGCGGGACCGUGAACAACCUUUUGAGCCGCGUGGCCGGCGGAUGCUGCCCCCUCUCCGCCCUCCAGCAGCUCUACGCCCUCAAGGCCCUGGUUCAGCGGCGACAGCCGCACAACCUGGAAAAGGCCCUGGUGGAGCUCCUCGGCACCUCUCCUCUGCCCUCAGGAGAAACGGCCGCGGUGGUUUCCCUGUUCCGAUACUGGAUCGCACACGUUCUCCCCAUGCAGGGAGACGAGGAGGCUUCCUCGGAAGCGCCCGCCAGCUGGGGGACCCUCGCGGACCGCUCCAGAGAUGUUCUUCAGAGUGCCGAGACUGACUCCGGGAUACAUCCGGCUGCUGCAGACGCAGGCCUACCACCAUGUGUCUGUGACCCCCCCAGCUGA